CACGUAGGCGGAUUUCUAAGUCAGGGGUGAAAUCCUGGAGCUCAACUCCAGAACUGCCUUUGAUACUGGGAGUCUCGAGUCCGGGAGAGGUGAGUGGAACUGCGAGUGUAGAGGUGAAAUUCGUAGAUAUUCGCAAGAACACCAGUGGCGAAGGCGGCUCACUGGCCCGGUACUGACGCUGAGGUGCGAAAGCGUGGGGAGCAAACA
rnacentral:rRNA from 1 species